GCGCCACCUUUGAGCCCCCGCCAUCUGCAGUGGUGCCGGGGGUCAGGCUGCAUCGCCAGAGCAGCCACUCGUGGUAACUGGGGCUCUGCGCUGCCGGCCGCCCUUUUUGCCACAAGCCACAUGG
rnacentral:snoRNA from 1 species